UACGGAGGGUGCGAACGUUAAUCGGAAUCACUGGGCGUAAAGCGCGCGUAGGCGGUCUGUUAAGUGGGAUGUGAAAUCCCCGGGCUUAACCUGGGAAUUGCAUUUCAAACUGGCCGACUAGAGUACGGUAGAGGGAGGUAGAAUUUCCUGUGUAGCGGUGAAAUGCGUAGAUAUAGGAAGGAAUACCAGUGGCGAAGGCGGCCUCCUGGAUCGAUACUGACGCUGAGGCGCGAAGGCGUGGGGAGCAAACAGG
rnacentral:rRNA from 1 species